GAUCAGCCACACUGGAACUGACACACGGUCCAGACUCCUACGGGAGGCAGCAUUGAGGAAUCUUGCGCAAUGGGGGAAACCCUGACGCAGCAACGCCGCGUGAGUGAUGAAGGCUUUCGGGUCGUAAAGCUCUGUCAAGUGGGAAGAACCUGGUACAGGUUAAUAUCCUUUAUCACUGACGGUACCACUGAAGGAAGCACCGGCUAACUCCGUGCCAGCAGCCGCGGUAAUACGGGGGGUGCAAGCGUUAUUCGGAUUUACUGGGCGUAAAGCGCGCGCAGGCGGUUGUUUAAGUCGGAUGUGAAAUCCCGGAGCUCAACCCCGGACGUGCAUUCGAAACUGGGAGACUUGAGUAUGGGAGAGGGAAGUGGAAUUCCUGGUGUAGAGGUGAAAUUCGUAGAUAUCAGGAGGAACACCGGUGGCGAAGGCGACUUCCUGGACCAAUACUGACGCUGAUUCGCGAAGGCGU
rnacentral:rRNA from 1 species